GCCUCGAUAGCUCAGUAGGGAGAGCGUUAGACUGAAGAUCUAAAGGUCGCUGGUUCGAUCCCGGCUCGAGGCA
rnacentral:tRNA from 1 species